GCUUAUGUCCACAUUGAAACACCGGUCCCCUUACUAUCACCGAAGUUAAGCAACUUCGAGCCUUGCCAGUACCUAGAUGGGUGACCGCUUGGGAUACUAGGUGCUGUAAG